ensembl:lncRNA
GGAAGGAAGGAGGGAAGAGAGCAAAAAGUGAUGUGAGUGGAAAGACCAAAUUUUGGAAAAAUGCAUCCCCCAAAUCCUUACAUUAUUCCCAACCACAGAAAGAAAACAGAGGGCUGGAAGGGAACUUGAAGUCUUAGAUGCCAAACCCUUAUUGUUCAGAGGAAGAUAAUGAGGAUCUCCGUCACUCCUACCCCUGAUUCCAUCUGGAGUUUGACUGAACUCAGAGAAGAGACUGUGUAUGGAGACUAGAAAUGGAAGCAGUAUCCAAGGUCAUAGCUUUCAGGCUCCCUUCAGAUUAUUCUACAGCUACAGUGAUGAAAGCUGCAUUCUCACAGAGUAC